AAGCUUCGGCGUGAACGCAGGCAAGGGAGUUGCAGCGUGUACGACGACAUAUUGGUGGCGACCACCAUUGCUCGUAUCGGCACAGAGGAAGAAGAAAACAAACCUAACCCACGUCGAGGUUCAAUUGUAGGACGCCGGACCAUUGCACGAGAUAGAUACAGUGGGUAUUGCCGUUUGAUGGAGGACUAUUUCGUUUCCAACUCGGUCUAUGGUUCCGAAUGACAAAGAAUAUGUUUGAAGAUAUCAAGGACGCAUGUGAGCAAGCAAACGUAUACUUUAAAUGGAGACAAAAUGCUGCGGGAGUUUGGGGCUUGGCUCCAGUACAAAAGGGAUGUUGGGUUCGAUUGAUUGUAUGCAUUGGGAGUGGGAAAAUUGCCCUACCGCUUGGCAUGGUCAAUAUAGAGGUCACUUUAAAAAACCUACUCUUAUUCUCGAGGCAGUUGCUAGCUAUGAUACAUGGAUAUGGCAUGCUUUCUUUGGACUUCCGGGAUCAUUGAAC